rnacentral:rRNA from 1 species
GACGAACGCUGGCGGCGUGCUUAACACAUGCAAGUCGAACGAUGAAGCCGGAGCUUGCUCUGGUGAAUUAGGGGCGAACGGGUGAGUAACACGUGAGUAACCUGCCCUUGACUCUGGGAUAACUGCGGGAAACUGUAGCUAAUACCGGAUACGACCCUCGGAGGCAUCUCCUGGGGGUGGAAAGAAUUUCGGUCAAGGAUGGACUCGCGGCCGAUCAGCUAGUUGGUGAGGUAAAGGCUCACCAAGGCGACGACGGGUAGCCGGCCUGAGAGGGUGACCGGCCACACUGGGACUGAGACACGGCCCAGACUCCUACGGGAGGCAGCAGUGGGGAAUAUUGCACAAUGGGCGCAAGCCUGAUGCAGCAACGCCGCGUGAGGGAUGACGGCCUUCGGGUUGUAAACCUCUUUUAGCAGGGAAGAAGCGAAAGUGACGGUACCUGCAGAAAAAGCACCGGCUAACUACGUGCCAGCCGCCGCAGUAA